GCGGCCGUGGCGGAAUGGUAGACGCGCAGCGUUGAGGUCGCUGUGGGGUAACACCCGUGAGAGUUCGAGUCUCUCCGGCCGCACCA
rnacentral:tRNA from 1 species